rnacentral:misc_RNA from 1 species
GAUGAAGAACGUAGCGAAAUGCGAUACUUGGUGUGAAUUGCAGAAUCCCGUGAACCAUCGAGUCUUUGAACGCAAGUUGCGCCCGAAGCCAUCAGGUUGAGGGCACGUCUGCCUGGGCGUCACAUAUCGUUGCCCAAUGCCUAUUGCAGUGCAAUAGGAAUUUCUAGGGCGAAUGAUGGCUUCCCGUGAGCGUUGUUGCCUCGCGAUUGGUUGAAAAUCGAGUCCUUGGUAGGGUGUGCCAUGGUAGAUGGUGGUCGAGUUAGAACGAUACCGAUCAUGUGCAUGCUCCCCAAAAUAUGGCCUCUAUGACCCACACGCGUCUUUUGACGCUCAUGACGAGACCUCAGGUCAGGCGGGGCUACCCGCUGAAUUUAAGCAUAUCAAUAAGCGGAGGA